GCUAAAGCUUUACACGUAAGCAAAGCAAAACAAGGAAUUAAUUCACUGCUUCCCAUGGGCAGGCAGGUGUUCAGCCAUCUCCGGGAGAGCAGGGACCCAUCACACCUAGUGGUGAUUUGGGAAGACAAUCGCCAUCA